AUUGAACGCUGGCGGCAUGCCUUACACAUGCAAGUCGAACGGCAGCGGGCCUUCGGGUGCCGGCGAGUGGCGAACGGGUGAGUAAUGCAUCGGAACGUGCCAUUGAGUGGGGGAUAACGUAGCGAAAGUUACGCUAAUACCGCAUAUUCUGUGAGCAGGAAAGCAGGGGACCGCAAGGCCUUGCGCUCUUUGAGCGGCCGAUGUCAGAUUAGCUAGUUGGUGAGGUAAAGGCUUACCAAGGCGACGAUCUGUAGCGGGUCUGAGAGGAUGAUCCGCCACACUGGAACUGAGACACGGUCCAGACUCCUACGGGAGGCAGCAGUGGGGAAUUUUUGGACAAUGGGCGCAAGCCUGAUCCAGCCAUGCCGCGUGAGUGAAGAAGGCCUCGGUUGGUUAAAGGUACU
rnacentral:rRNA from 1 species